rnacentral:rRNA from 1 species
UACGUAGGGUGCAAGCGUUGUCCGGAAUUAUUGGGCGUAAAGAGCUCGUAGGCGGUUUGUCGCGUCUGCUGUGAAAACUGGAGGCUCAACCUCCAGCCUGCAGUGGGUACGGGCAAACUAGAGUGCGGUAGGGGAGAUUGGAAUUCCUGGUGUAGCGGUGGAAUGCGCAGAUAUCAGGAGGAACACCGGUGGCGAAGGCGGGUCUCUGGGCAGAUACUGACGCUGAGGAGCGAAAGCGUGGGGAGCGAACAGG